rnacentral:rRNA from 1 species
UACAGAGGUCUCAAGCGUUGUUCGGAUUCAUUGGGCGUAAAGGGUGCGUAGGCGGCGGAGCAAGUCGGAUGUGAAACUCUCAGGGCUCAACCCUGAAACUGCAUUCGAUACUGCCCUGCUCGAGGACUGGAAAGGAGAUUGGAAUUCACGGUGUAGCAGUGAAAUGCGUAGAUAUCGUGAGGAAGACCAGUGGCGAAGGCGGAUCUCUGGACAGUUCCUGACGUGAGGCACGAAGGCCAGGGGAGCAAACGGG